rnacentral:lncRNA from 1 species
UGCCCAGUAGGAUGAUGCAUACAACAGCCGCUGCCGUUCCUGGUUGUCACAGUGGUUCAAUCCGAAGAAUGAAUCAGGCGAUGUGUCAUAUAUUCCAGGUACAUAACCAUGCUCUACUACUCCCUCCAGUUUGAUAAUUUUAGUCAUUUUGAACAACGACAUGGUCUUCUAAGGGGUCACCUAUUAGUCAAUCGCUUGAAAAAAACCUAAAUUCAUCAAUCAAUUUUGUGAGACGUUGGAUUGAAAUCGUUUUGUAACCAAGGAAAAUUUUCAAGCGAUUGACAGAUAGCAAACCUGGUCUUCUAAAUAUAUGUUUGAUUGUGAUCUUUAAUUAAUAUACAUAUAUAUAAAGUAAUCAAAUAUUUAUUUUUAUUAAAAUAUUCUUUAUGACUCAUCUAUAUAUGUUGUCCUAGAUUUUUCAAACUAAAUAUUUUAAAAUUUAUUAAUAGCCAAAAUUUAAAAAGUUUAACUAUAAUCUUAUUCAAAAUGAUAUUUUUUUUUAGAAAAUGGGAUGAACCCAGCCUCUACAUCCAAUUGGAAGUACACAUCCAUCCAUAUUCAAAAUGAUAUAAUAGUAUGGAACUAGAGGGAGCAGUUUAUCCUAGUAAAUGUAAACUGAAUUCAGCAUUACCUGCAGCAAUCUUGAUUCCAUUAUUAAGCUUGCCUGCAAUGAGGGCAGAGGAGGAGAAUUAGCUAAAUCACGAGGGAAAAACUGAAGGCUAGCUAGCUUGGUCUGAUGUCCUAACAAAUAUUGUACCCACAAAUUUGUUCCUUAUUGGGCCUUUUUGGGCUUCAUUCUAAACCUACAUUUCCAACCCUACCCUAGCAAAUUUUAGUAACGGACAUCGAACCAAAUGGGUGCUAAAAUUUGACCGAGACAAGAAAAAGACAAAUUGGCAACAGAUAAUGUAUACUAUCACUAACUAAAAAUUGUUUUGCUAUUUAUUGGCUCACUAAAAUUUUCUAAUUAUCAAUCAUCCAUUCAUACAUGCAUAACGUAUAGCUUGUAGCCUUGUACUAUUUGUAAUGCUAAUUUAGUAUAGGUUUAUUGUGACAUUCAGUUUUUUUAAUAAUUUCUAUACGAGUUUAUGUACAUAUUUUCCUUUUGUGGCGGUCUAGAUUAGAGUUUGUUGGUUCGGUACAUUCAUUAACCGAACAAAUGAAAACAUAAAGCUUUACACUAACAAUAGCAUGAACGCUACAGAACUAACACACACAUCGUUUUCCUUAUUAAAAUAGAAAGAAGACUUCUAGGUCGUCAUGGUCCUUUUCAUUCUUCCCCUGGAUUUCAUUUGUUACUGGGUCUAAGUUCAUGUGCCGGCCCCUUUCAGCUGAUUAAUUUACUCUAUUCCCUAAUAUCAAAGGCAUCAUUAACCUACAGAUUGAACUCUUAUAGAUGCAUAUACUACAAUUUGGUGUGGAAUGCAUGACAUGACACAUCGCGCAAAUGGAUGAACUAAGUUAUUACUUGACACAAGGUUGAACAGUCAUAUAUGAAAACGAUAUGCUCACAGCUGACUGAACAACUUGAUGGAGCGACUUAACUGCUACCCUCUGCUUUUUUGUCGAUCCCAUUGCUAAUGUUUGUUUGGUACAGUGCAGUUGGUGCCACGAAUGAAUGAAUGGAAGGAAGGGAAAAUUUGCCAUCAGAGAUAAGACCAAAGAAAUUCAAGGGAAGUUUCCUUCAAAAACAAAAUGAAAGGAAGCUAAAGCAAAUUCAAAUACACGAAUUGACCAUUUCAAAUGGUGGAAGUCUGCAUUGUGGUGCUAUAGUCAAGGGGAUGGCCAUUCAGACCAGAGGCGGCGUCUUAUUGUUAGCAGCCUUUGAUUUUCUAUUGCCCCUAGUCUUUAUGAAAACGAACACACUAUUCUCUCAGAAAUAAGUACUAAUGGC